GGUAUUGCCUCAGUAGCGGCGUAUUGUAAGCGGCAAGAGCUCAGAUUUGAAAUCGUGCUUUGCGGCACGAGUUGUAGAUUGCAGGUUGGAGUCUGUGUGGAAGGCGGUGUCCAAGUCCCUUGGUAACAGGGCGCCCAGGAGGGUGAGAGCCCCGUGGGAUGCCGGCGGAAGCAGUGAGGCCCUUCUGACGAGUCGAGUUGUUUGGGAAUGCAGCUCCAAGCGGGUGGUAAAUUCCAUCUAAGGCUAAAUACUGGCGAGAGACCGAUAGCGAACAAGUACUGUGAAGGAAAGAUGAAAAGCACUUUGAAAAGAGAGUGAAACAGCACGUGAAAUUGUUGAAAGGGAAGGGUAUUGCGCCCGACAUGGGGAUUGCGCACCGCUGCCUCUCGUGGGCGGCGCUCUGGGCUUUCCCUGGGCCAGCAUCGGUUCUUGCUGCAGGAGAAGGGGUUCUGGAACGUGGCUCUUCGGAGUGUUAUAGCCAGGGCCAGAUGCUGCGUGCGGGGACCGAGGACUGCGGCCGUGUAGGUCACGGAUGCUGGCAGAACGGCGCAACC
rnacentral:rRNA from 1 species